UCCGAGUUGACCCCGGCAGUCUCCUAUGAGUUCCCACCAUUACGUGCUGGCAACAUAGAACGAGGGUUGCGCUCGUUGCGGGACUUAACCCAACAUCUCACGACACGAGCUGACGACAGCCAUGCACCACCUGUGAUCCUGCCCCGAAGGGAAGCCCUGUUUCCAGGACGGUCAGGAACAUGUCAAGCCCAGGUAAGGUUCUUCGCGUUGCGUCGAAUUAAACCACAUGCUCCGCUGCCUGUGCGGGCCCCCGUCAAUUCAUUUGAGUUUUAAUCUUGCGACCGUACUCCCCAGGCGGUCAACUUAUCGCGUUAGCUGAGGCACCGAGGAGCGCAAUCACUCCCCAGCGCCGGGUACACAUCGUUUACGGCGUGGACUAC
rnacentral:misc_RNA from 1 species